AUUUUCUUAUAUGCAAUGAAAAGUAGUGUGAAAUUUUCACUGUAUCACUGGAAAGGAUUAAACUUUACACAUGCAAAGUAUUUCUUUGGCUGAAAUAAAGUGUUAACCAUGGUCUGAAGAGCAUUCUGUUGAAAAAUCUUAUAUGUGAAUUGGUCUGCAGAUGACACUUCAGCAUUAAAACAAAAGAUAUCAAGUUUUGAUGAUAAAGGAAGGAAGGAAGGAGGAAAAAUGGACCAAAACAGACCAAAACAGACCUUCAAAUGAACUCUAAAAGGUGCAAUAAAAUUGUUUUUCAUCUUAAAGUUGUCUUUUGUAUUCUAUUUAAUUGUUUGAAUGCAUAGAUCAUGAGUUUAUGAUCAGAUAGUAGUCAACACUGCAUUU